UACGUAGGUGGCAAGCGUUGUCCGGAAUUAUUGGGCGUAAAGCGCGCGCAGGCGGCUAUGUAAGUCUGAUGUUAAAGCCCGAGGCUCAACCUCGGUCCGCAUUGGAAACUGCGUAGCUUGAGUGCAGAAGAGGAAAGUGGUAUUCCACGUGUAGCGGUGAAAUGCGUAGAGAUGUGGAGGAACACCAGUGGCGAAGGCGACUUUCUGGUCUGUAACUGACGCUGAGGCGCGAAAGCUAGGGUAGCAAACGGG
rnacentral:rRNA from 1 species